CCUAGUCUAUCUUAAAAUUACAAUGCCAAGGUUAAUAGUAUUAUACUUCCUUGACUAAGAAGAAGCUAGUCCUCAGUUUAAACUAGGCUUCUUGUACCUCAGACCUAUUUUCAUUUGAUCACUCCUGAAUGGAAAGAAAGCACAGCUGGUCACAUCUCUAUUCAAUAGCCAUGACAACCCCUCAGACUUUGUAAGCUUCCGGUUGUUUCUACAUGACACCAAAAAAACAUUUCAAAAAUGCCUGCCUUCCUCCCGUGGACACCACUGCUGGGGCUGUGUGCUUAGCUGAAUUUACAGGAAUGGACAUGGGGGAGCAGCAGAAUGCAAAGGACCAUCACUGGAUCCUGAAAAAGCUCAGUAGCUGAGUCCAGGUAAAAGAGGAGCCUGUCUACCCUGACGCCAAAGUCAGGAGUCCUGACUCCACACCUAUCUGACAUCCCAGGAGAUAGUAUGGAACAGGGACGGUCAUUGAAGUCAGAAAAACUUGGAUUUUCAAUCAUUUUCCAACUGUGCAAUCUUAACAGUUAUGUAAUAUUUCUGGGCGUUGGAUUCCAUUAUUUAAGAGGUUACAAUCAUGAUAUCUUCCAAAUAAGAUGGUAAUACUUUCUUUUUGGUUGUGAAACAAUAAACAUGGUGGCUGAGUCA
rnacentral:lncRNA from 1 species